GAAAUCUGAGCCUGGAUUUGAACUCAGAAGGGUCGUUUUGGUUAAGGUAGGGUUUCGUGGGGUUGAACCACCGCGAGGUUGAGGCGGCGCCGUCGCAGACGACCGCCCGCCACUCUCUUCUCCGAAAGGGUCGUUUUGGUUAAGGUAGGGUUUCGUGGGGUUGAACCACCGCGAGGUUGAGGCGGCGCCGUCGCAGACGACCGCCCGCC
rnacentral:lncRNA from 1 species